UACAGAGGUCUCAAGCGUUGUUCGGAUUCAUUGGGCGUAAAGGGUGUGUAGGUGGCGCCGUAAGUCGGGUGUGAAAUUUCGGAGCUUAACUCCGAAACUGCAUUCGAUACUGCGGUGCUUGAGGACUGGAGAGGAGACUGGAAUUCAUGGUGUAGCAGUGAAAUGCGUAGAGAUCAUGAGGAAGACCAGUGGCGAAGGCGGGUCACUGGUCCGGUACUGACGCUGAGGUGCGAAAGCGUGGGGAGCAAACAGG
rnacentral:rRNA from 1 species